CCUGACCUCGGAUCACACGUGAUUACCCGCUGAACUUAAGCAUAUCACUAAGCGGAGGAAAAGAAACUAACAAGGAUUCCCCUAGUAACUGCGAGUGAACAGGGAUUAGCCCAACACCGAAGCCUGCGGUUAUUUGAUCGUAAGGCAAUGUGGUGUUUAGGUUGGCUUCAGGCAUUACUGCUCUACCCCAAGUCCAGCAUUGAGUACGGCUUACCGUCCUGGCCCAUAGAGGGUGAAAGGCCCGUGGGGGUAGAGACCAUGUAUGACAGUUUUGUUCUGAGCUACCCUUGGAGUCGGGUUGUUUGUGAAUGCAGCCCAAAGUGGGUGG
rnacentral:rRNA from 1 species